rnacentral:misc_RNA from 1 species
UCGCCCCUCAAGCCCGGCUUGUUGUUGGACGCGGCGGCGCCGUUUCGCGCCCCGCCCGUCUCAAAGAUAAUGACGGCGUCUGCGAGGACCCCUGUACACUGAGCUUUCGGGCACGUACUAGGUGUGGAAUCCAGGCCCGGUCUUCGUCCCUCGGGACAAAACUUUUAACCA